rnacentral:rRNA from 1 species
CGGACGGGUGAGUAACGCGUGGGUAACCUGCCCUGUACAGGGGGAUAACAGCUGGAAACGGCUGCUAAUACCGCAUAAGCGCACGAGGAGACAUCUCCUUGUGUGAAAAACUCCGGUGGUACAGGAUGGGCCCGCGUCUGAUUAGUUGGUUGGCAGGGUAACGGCCUACCAAGGCAACGAUCAGUAGCCGGUCUGAGAGGAUGAACGGCCACAUUGGAACUGAGACACGGUCCAAACUCCUACGGGAGGCAGCAGUGGGGAAUAUUGCACAAUGGGGGAAACCCUGAUGCAGCAACGCCGCGUGAGUGAAGAAGUAUUUCGGUAUGUAAAGCUCUAUCAGCAGGGAAGAUAAUGACGGUACCUGACUAAGAAGCUCCGGCUAAAUACGUGCCAGCAGCCGCGGUAAUACGUAUGGAGCAAGCGUUAUCCGGAUUUACUGGGUGUAAAGGGUGCGUAGGUGGCAGUGCAAGUCAGAUGUGAAAGGCCGGGGCUCAACCCCGGAGCUGCAUUUGAAACUGCAUAGCUAGAGUACAGGAGAGGCAGGCGGAAUUCCUAGUGUAGCGGUGAAAUGCGUAGAUAUUAGGAGGAACACCAGUGGCGAAGGCGGCCUGCUGGACUGUUACUGACACUGAGGCACGAAAGCGUGGGGAGCAAACAGGAU